CGCCAUUGGGGUAGGAAGCCCGGAAACCUCUCCGGAAUUGCAGCGUGCAAGUAUGCUCAACUGGAAGUGAAGGUAACUGACUCUGAACAAUGUCAGUCUUCCCAUAUGUAAAAAUACUCCAUGCUUUUGGCAGUCGGGGGACUGCAACAUCCUGAUCCAAUCUCUGGGAGUUUUAUCUUCUUACUCAGAAGAAACUCGCCCUGCUUCUUGCUUGAGAGGAAGUAGUAUCUGGACACUGCUGAAGAAAUUUCCAAGAAGUGUGUAAAUUCAAAGGACAAAGAAAGGAAAAUGAAAAACUGCACUGGCCAAACAAAAGCCAGCUGACCCAGGACUUCUGGGACCAGGAUCAAUCGCAGAGACACGGUCAUCACAGAAAAAGAGAAACAAGCCCAGAAAAAAGUAAACAACACUUGGAGACUCCAAGAAAAUGAAGCUUACCCAGGAGAAGCAGCUUUCUGUGAGACCGUCAAUUGUCAACACACAGGAAGAUGAGGACUGUCCCCAAACUCCUUGUGAGACCCCACCACUACCCAGAAGAUUCUCAAAGAAGGCCAGAGCUCCACUCCUACCCAGAUUGUCCUCGCCACCAGUGGAGCAACCGUGUAUGACUCUGAAGACAGAGUUCCUACAGAAAAGGACUGCCUGAUUUUAGUUUAAUUUUCCCAUGGAUGUUAUUGAAGAUAUUAGUUCUAAGAUCCUAAAUGUCUUUUAACAAUCCUCAUAAAAGGCUUUCCCAGUGCCUCUGGCAUCUUCCCAUUGUCUCCAGGAUCCUCAGGUGCUUCCAGCUACAUCAUACAUGGUGAUGAUUUACUGCAUGGUAUAUAUUCUUUUAUUUAACUAAAUCACUAAUUUUGAUUAAAUAUAUACUUUGAAACCUUGCCCUAAGAUCAUUUUAAUACUUAUGUACUAAAAAUCUAUGAUUCAUUCAGCACCUAACUUACUCUGCUUUUUCAAGACUACAAUUAGUCAUUUGCUUAUCCUUGUUUUAUUUUGGCUAUCAUUUCUGUUUUUCCCUCCAUGCAUGCAGAAAGUAUUAUCUUAGGGCAAAAAGGAUGUGAAAACACAUGGCCAAUCAGAAUCAACUAUCAAUUAUUUUUCAUUUAUUUUGAAUUGAGCGAUAGCACCAUUUUUUAAGAUGUAGGAAAGUAGCCACGUUAAAAAAGUUGAAACAAGCCAGGCAUUUAAUCCCAACACUCAGGAGGUAGAGGCAGGUGGAUCUCUGUGAGUUCGAGGCCAGUCUGGUCUACAGAGCGAGUUCCAGGACAACCUCCAAAACAAUACAGAGAAAGCCUGUCUCAAAAAAAAAGCUGAAACAAAACUAAACUAAAAAUGACCUUUAACGUUCUGAAAUCUUUCCCAAAUGCCUCACUGCAGUUCUAUUCCUUUUUAAUUUUGUCUCUUGUUGCGCAUAUGCACAGUAGCAUUUUCCUAAAAGAUUGUAUCACAUAUCUUUCUAUUCCAGAUGUCUUAAAAGUUACAUAAUGUAUCUUGAACUUCCAUUAAAUCAACCAAUGUGCAUUUAAAUUGUUUUACUGUCUACAAAAUUUCAUGAUUAGUUCAUCCAUUAUGAAAAUAUCUUAUGUGAUCUGGCUUUAGGCUCUUUUGAGACUGUAGUUUAUCAGUAUUGAAUAACAAGAAUAUCUGUUCCUAACAAUUUCUUUCAUUUCUCAAGAAAGUUACAUCUCCCUAGUUGUCAAAACCAUCAUUCAAACAUUCCCCACAUAGGCAUGCUUUCUGUACUCUCCUCCCACCCUUCAGCCCAAUGAGCACCUCCCACUCAACACUUGCCUUGGGUACUGUAGCCCUUUCCUCUGUCCUGUGGCUCAGUGACACACUCUGCUUUGCCAGCUGUACUCAAACUGUGUAAGAGUGAAGAGCCACUUUCAUAGUCCAAAGAAAGAGGAGAAAGCUGGUCCCAUGGUUAAAACUCAAGGAGGUAAGCAAGAAUGAGAAAAGAGAUGUAAAUGAGUCAUCGUGACAGUAUGAGUAAAGACAGAUGUUUAUGGACAACUACUUCACGACUUAUAUAAUUCAUCACUUCUUUAUUCAGGAUCAUCAGGGCUAGCACAAGACACCUUAAUGCUGAUUCAGUUAUGGAAAUGUCUCAGCGUUCUCCUUCUGAAAACCUGGACACCACUGAAAGAAUGUUCAUAAAGAUCUAAGAACAGAAAACUAGUCAUAUACAUACUUAGAAAUAUAAGGCACAUAAGCCUUUUCCUUAUUCCUGUUUAGUAUUUUAUUGUCUUGUGAAUUCUAUAUGACCACUGUAUUUAUAUCCCUCCCACCUAACACUUUCAUGCCUCCAACUCUUCUGUUAUCACAACCCCUCUCCCAACUCCCUGUUAACUUUAUGAUAUUUUUCCUUAUUAUUAUUUAUGAUACUUUAAAGUUACUUGAAAUUACUUUUAAUUGAAAAUACUUAAAAUGAUUUUUAAGUAAUCCCCAAACAAAAAUUGGGAUCCUUCAGUAUGUUUACGAAUACAGCCCAAUCCUCCUGACAGCACAUUGCUUUCCCAUCUGUGCUAUUGCUUGGCUUUGAUUAAGGUUUUCCUGCUAUUUGCAAUCUAUGUGAGCUUUCCUUUCAAUAACUGGGAUGCGGACAACGUGAGAAACAUCCUACCCAGGCCCCAGCCUUUGUUAACAUGGAAACAGCAACAAAGCACCGUCAAAUGGUUUCCCAACCUCCAGAACUAUAAGAAUAAAUUUCUGUUUCUUGUAAACUAUUCUGUCUGUGAACUUGUGCUAUAAAAACACAAAUUAGACAAAGCUACCAGCAAUCUAUACAACUAGGUGCAGAAAUCAGUAAAGAAUUUUCAUUUACUUACAUGUUCCCUGCAUGCCAAGCCAUGAAGAUGGAAUAACAGUGCCAAAUCUGUAUGUAGUGGUAAAAUGUGGUUUGUAUUAACCUAGUGUUUACACAAAGAUAUACUCUGCUCUCCAGCCCCAACCUAUGCUUUAUCAUUACUCCACUCAAAGGCCAGUAGGAUUACUGCACGGUUUUUUUCUAUUCAUGCACUAGAAUAGCCAGUAUAAUAAUGACACAAAUGUUACAGGGCUAAUCAAUGGCUUUCUAGAAGUAUUUGAGUUCUGAUACACAGGAAGGAAUCCAUGCUUGAUACUGCACACCUACCUGUUGAAAAUCUCAUCCAUAGCUGGAGAGUUGAUAUGCCCUGGAAGGGCAGGAGCUAUUGCUGCUGUUGUAAACAGCCUGUUGUCAAGCUGCCUUCUGAGUAUUCAUGCUUUGAUUCCUCAAUAAAUAUUGC